AACGAACGCUGGCGGCAUGCCUAACACAUGCAAGUCGAACGAGACCUUCGGGUCUAGUGGCGCACGGGUGCGUAACGCGUGGGAACCUGCCCUUAGGUUCGGAAUAACUCCCCGAAAGGGGUGCUAAUACCGGAUAAUGUCUUCGGACCAAAGAUUUAUCGCCUUUGGAUGGGCCCGCGUUGGAUUAGCUAGUUGGUAGGGUAAAAGCCUACCAAGGAGACGAUCCAUAGCUGGUCUGAGAGGAUGAUAAUCCACACUGGGACUGAGACACGGCCCAGACUCGUAGGGGAGGCAGCAGUGGGGAAUAUUGGACAAGGGGCGAAAGCCUGAUCCAGCAAUGCCGGGUGAGUGAUGAAGGCGUUAGGGUUGUAAAGCUCUUUUACCCGGGAUGAUAAUGACAGUACCGGGAGAAUAAGCUCCGGCUAACUCCGUG
rnacentral:rRNA from 1 species